rnacentral:rRNA from 1 species
CAGCAUGGGGAAUAUUGCACAAUGGGCGCAAGCCUGAUGCAGCCAUGCCGCGUGUAUGAAGAAGGCCUUCGGGUUGUAAAGGUACUUUCAGCAGUGAGGAAGUGGGUAUGUUAAUAGCAUACUCAUUUGACGUUAGCUGCAGAAGAAGCACCGGCUAACUCCGUGCCAGCAGCCGCGGUAAUACGGAGGGUGCGAGCGUUAAUCGGAAUUACUGGGCGUAAAGCGCAUGCAGGUGGUUGUUAAGUCAGAUGUGAAAGCCCGGGGCUCAACCUCGGAAUUGCAUUGAAACUGGCAAACUAGAGUACUGUAGAGGGGGUAGAAUUUCAGGUGUAGCGGUGAAAUGCGUAGAGAUCUGAAGGAAUACCGGUGGCGAAGGCGGCCCCCUGGACAGAUACUGACACUCAGAUGCGAAAGCGUGGGGAGCAAACAGGAUUAGAUACCCUGGUAG